GGUUAAGCGACUAAGCGUACACGGUGGAUGCCCUGGCAGUCAGAGGCGAUGAAGGACGUGCUAAUCUGCGAAAAGCGUCGGUAAGGUGAUAUGAACCGUUAUAACCGGCGAUGUCCGAAUGGGGAAACCCAGUGCAAUUCGUUGCACUAUCGUUAACUGAAUACAUAGGUUAACGAGGCGAACCGGGGGAACUGAAACAUCUAAGUACCCCGAGGAAAAGAAAUCAACCGAGAUUCCCCCAGUAGCGGCGAGCGA
rnacentral:rRNA from 1 species